rnacentral:lncRNA from 1 species
GGAAGGCGAGUGCCGGAGGGGGCGGGACAGCUCCUCCGGGGCCAGCGGGCACCAGGCUUGGGGGCUGAGGCCCAGCGGCCCGAGACCAACUGGGCUGACCGAGGCCGCCUCCCCGCCAGCCCUGGGGUCCACUGCCCGGGGAGCAGCUCCCUUCCCAGGUCAGACUCGGGCUUCAUCCUCUCUUGCCGCGCGCCGAGCGGUUUUCAACUCUCACUGCUAGAAUUCCUCCAACCACCCAGGAUAGCAGGACCGAGAUACAUGGCCACCCAUGACCCGGAGCGUCCACUUCCAGGGACAGGCAGUGGUGAUUGGCUUCGGUUGUCAUCUGUGCCAUCUGUCCAUGGUUCGAGAAGCUGCUGUUCACGUUUUGGGGAGGAUCAUGGUUUGAGGGCUCCCGUGGUAGAAUUUGGGGAGCUCUCAUAGGCAGAAGGCUGAGAAAAGUUGGUGCUGUGGGAAGUCAACUGGCAGCCGAUGGAGUCGGGACCCGGGAGGAAUGGAAAGGGAACCCAGAUAGGAAGCUACUGCAGUAGGCUCAGAGAGGUGAUGACGGCAGGGCUAAGACAGCGGCCUUGGGCGGUGACUGGGAAGAACGUUGAACACCGUGUUUGGGCUGAAGAAAAGAGCAAGGGAAGAGUUACAGGGCUUUGACUCCUGAGUCUGAAAAAGGCACAGAUUCCUGCUAAAUCUUGAACACUGACGCCAGUCAAAGCCUCAUCUUCAGACCUGGGAGAAGGUGACAAUCGAAAUGAAAUGCUUUCAUGAGACGCAGGGCCAGUAAUUACAAGUAUUCAAUCCCCCUAGGCCCAGGGACUAUCGCGGAAGAGGUGGGCGUGUGAGAUUGUAAGGGCCAACUUUGAGGGAUAAAAUUAGAGUUUUUUUGUAAACAUUAAUAUCAAAGGCACACUGAGGCCAGGCAAGCGUCUGGCCCCUGUGUCGGAAUAACAAUUUUCCUGGACCACUGAUCUACUCUUUAAUAGAAGAUUGUAAAAGGUUAUACAAGGCGUAUGGAAAUCUUACUUCGUGGUCAA